GGCCACCAGAUGCAGGGCCUGGCCAAGCUCUGCAUCCCCAGGGCAUGGGAAACCAGGUGGGAUCAAUCCCUUGGCUGCAUAAAGUCUUCUUCGACAUCUGUCUGGCCAGCAAAAAAUUUAGGGGAAAAAAGCACCAAAACUGUGCCAGGGGCCAUGGUGUCCCCCCUGGGCACCAGCCAGGGCUUGGGGACAUCCCCAGAGGGGACGUGGCAGCCCCGAGGAACUGGCUGCUGAGCUGAAGCCCUGUAAGCACCCUUUAGGAUCCCGGGCAGUAAUUGAUGGUACCAAGCAGCCCGCUGGAACAAGACGGAAUGAUCGUUUUGGUGCGUUUAUUGGCCAACAAAUCUUUGAAGGGGAUCCAUCUAUCUGUGUUACGGUGACAGGGAGAAGAUAUUUAUUCCCAUCCAUUAUGCAAAUCAGCGCAGAGUAAACACAUGCAAAUCUCUGUGCCGCUGCCGUGCAGGCACAGGUCUGAUGCAAUGAAACCCUGCGGGUUAUUGGGGCUCUCGCGUGCAUCUCCUUGCUUGGUGCUCCCAGCAGAGUGUUGAUCCAGAGAGGUAGCAGUGGAGCUUCCCAAAAAACACAGCGCAGUGCCUUUAGUGGGGAAUGGUUUUGCACUGUGCCCUCUGCUCAGGCUAAGUCCCCCCUGCAGGCUGAUGGAUAGCUCAGUUUUGUGGAGCAGCCAUGAUAUGCACGUGCCAGGGCUGAAGUUCUUCUGGAUCCAUGCUAAUGAGCCCCUAAUUAACAAGAGGUCAGAAUGGCAGAGCAGCCCUGCAGGUGGAAGGGAGAAGAUGGACCCCAUUGCAGCCCAGCACUGUGUGACGGGCAGCCAGGUCCCAGCCAGGUACUGGGAGCAGAGGGAUGCUCCAGCCCCGGGAGCAGAGAUAUCCCAGCACUGGGAUCAAGGAUGCUCCAGCCCUGAAGUCAGGGAUGCUGCUUGUGAUGGGCAGCCCAAACCUGGGCACCAAGCUCAAGAUGCCAGACAGCAGCCUGGAGAUAACACCUCCAUCACAGGUGGAGACAGAGCCGCUGACCCAGACCCCAACCAUCCAUCCCCUCAUUUCACCUGUCUCCAAAUCCCAGUGGCUCAAACCCCUAAGGGACACCUGGCACCGAGCAUCCCACCUGCCCGUGCAGGGCCAAGGGGAGAAGAGAUGGAGCAAACCCAGCACACGGGGCACCACUGCUUCCCCAGCCUCCUCCAGGAGCGCACACACAUCUAUUUAACCACUGUGUCCCCAGUUCUAACAUAAUUAGCCAUCAGCCUGCCAGUCAACGUCAGCUCCUGCAGAUCACCAUUAAUGGAUCGCUGUUCAGCCAGCUGUUAUUGAAUCGAUAUAGAAAUUAAAAUGCAUUCUUUCCAUUCUUUCUCAGCUGUCAUCUUAUCUCAGUGUCUAGCUAAAAGCACGGCAGAUUACAGAAUCCAUCAUCAUUUAGCCUUUGUAGCUUGCAAAAUUCAUAAUUAACAAAAAAAUUCUAUUCAGUUUCUCGUGUAAUUUAAUUAGUUUUCUAUUAAAUAGAGACUAAAUAUCAUCUAAUCCCCCAACAGAGCAAAUAAUUGUU
ensembl:lncRNA